ACCUUCGUGGUGAAAUUGGUAAACACAACUGGUUUAGAACCAGUACGCUGAGAGUUCGAGUCUCUCCGAAGGUACAA
rnacentral:tRNA from 1 species